AGUGCUGAUUCUUUUUGUCCUAUUCAACAUAUUCCGUUGCUUUGCCACCUACUGUUCUCGUCCCCACCUGUCGCGCGUGUGACCCGAUGGCAAAGGUCUAUGAGUCAGUUGAUCAAUCGAUGUACUAAAUAUACAGUCAGCUCCGCACAGUGACCCACUCUCAUUAUCACAACCAGCACAUAGUCGUUACCUACUUUCUGAACAGUGGCAACAAUAAGACGACCUGGUAACUGCAUCGGACCUGAAAGGUUGAACUUCGGACUGCCAUGGCUUUGUUGGUCGUCGUUUAUUCUCGACACACCAAAACGAAGAUAUCGACACUGCCUCGAUUGACUCUGUUGAGCAUAGCAGAGAUCAGCCUCAGCUGAAUAAUCACGUCUCUACCAUCGUCAUUAAAAUGAAUGGUAACCCCCCACUGUUGCGGAUUGUAGCUGUCUUCUCAUGUGAAGUUGCUUUAAGCUCCUCGUGCAUCGACGCCAGGUGGAUUAGCAAAUAAUAUAUACCAAUGGGUUCGUUAUCGCUGCGUCCAGUUCUGAACACAACGAUGUCUAGAAGGAGGAAAACAGGGCUGUUGAAAAGGAAGAGCAGAUCCGAAAUGGGCAUGCGAGAACCAGGAACCUGACAUAAUGUCUGUCAUUUGUGAGGGCAUCUCAUUUCCGGUAAAAGUUGCCGACUAAUGAGAUCGUUUGACUGGCCGUCAACCACGUAGGACAGGGUUACUGCCAAACCUAAU